UACCAGCACCCCGAGUGGUCGGGACGAUUAUUGGGCCUAAAGCAUCCGUAGCCGGUCCUGCAAGUCUUCCGUUAAAUCCAGCUGCUCAACAGAUGGGCUGCGGGGGAUAUUACAUGGCUAGGAGGCGGGAGAGGCAAGCGGUACUUUAUGGGUAGGGGUAAAAUCCGUUGAUCCAUAGAAGACCACCAGUGGCGAAGGCGGCUUGCCAGAACGCGCUCGACGGUGAGGGAUGAAAGCUGGGGGAGCAAACCGG
rnacentral:rRNA from 1 species